rnacentral:rRNA from 1 species
UACAGAGGUCCCAAGCGUUGUUCGGAUUCACUGGGCGUAAAGGGUGCGUAGGUGGUCUGUUAUGUCAGAUGUGAAAGCCCUCGGCUUAACUGAGGAAGUGCACCUGAAACUGGCAGGCUUGAGUACGAAAGAGGGUCGCGGAAUUCCCGGUGUAGAGGUGAAAUUCGUAGAUAUCGGGAGGAACACCGGUGGCGAAGGCGGCGACCUGGUUCGAUACUGACACUGAGGUGCGAAAGCGUGGGGAGCAAACAGG